UUUUGUUCUCCUUCAGUAUACUCUAUGAUGUUUGUACAAUGAUGAAAUUGCCUAAUGCCACGUCUCUCAGAACACAUACCUGUUGUUAAGCAAUGCCUGACCGUAUAUAUAUUUUUUAAGUUCAGCAAGCUUUGCUCAUUACCAAGUCUUCUUUCUUCCUGGAAAUUACAACCAGAAACAGGCACGACGUAGCUAAAGCUGAAAUCUCCUGGGCACUGUGACAUAUAAUUCUCAAAGAUGACUACCAUCAACUUUUCCAUUCCUGUACGAAGAUGCCACUUCUCCCAUCAAGAGAUCUUGUCUGUUUCCUCUGUCAAAUUCUGAGUUUGCCUGGAGGUUUAUUUUUAUCAGCAGAAUGUAGUGAAAUUGGCACUGAGUUAGUUUCACGCCUUGCCCUAAAAAGGCCUGGCAGCUUUGCCUUUCAAUCUCUUGGGGUACCAUGUAAAAAGGUCAGGCUAUUCUGUUGUAGAAACCACGUGGAGAAAAAAAAGAAUUGCCUGGACAGCCCAUAGCUGUUCCAGGCAUGGCAGCUGAAGUACCUUUCAUGUGAACUAAGGCAUGUUGGAUAUUUCAGCUCUAGUCAAACUUCCAAAUAAAUGCACUGCAUGAGUGACCCCAGCCAACCAUCUGGAAGAAUAAUGAGCCCUGCCCAUAUUUCAGAAUCAUGGGCAAAUAAAUGGUUCUUAUUUUUGCCACUAAGUUUUGAAGUGACUUGUUUAAGAACCAUAGAUAAGUAAAGCAGGCAUGAAGAAAGAACCCACAAAAGAAGAAAAUGUGGAAGAAUGUGUAUCACAGAAGAGAGCUACCAUAUUUAAAGUUUUACAAACUUAGAGAAGAACCUUUGCAUUGAUCUGACUUCAAAGAUGAUAAGCAUAUAAAAAGAUGCUCUGUAGAAAAUCGGUGAAGCUAAAGUGUAACAGACAAAAAGGUAUGUUGAUGUUUUCCACUAAAAGUUUGAGUCAUAAUAGUAAAUACAAAAAAUAAAAUUAGGAAAACCAGUAUAGAUACAGUGGAUUGCUAUUAAUCAAUCAUAAUAUGUUACAAUAAACAUUAUUAAUCCAGCAAAGAAUUAUAACAAAAAAUUUAUCUAUAGAUUUUAAAUUUGAUGAUUGUCAGGGUAUAUAGCAAUGACAGAUGAGACAAGAGAGAACUUCUCCUUUAUUAUUUGCCUAGAAAUGACAGAAUGGCAUUUAAUUUUUUUUGACAACUGGAAAUGUGUGUUCAUCUUCAUAAUUUUCAACAAUAAAAACUAACUAUUUUGGAUGGCAGUAUUACUCAUCUAUUGCUGAUAAAAAAAAAAACAGUCCCAACGUUUAGUGGCAUAAAUCAACACGCAUUUAUGAUUUUACAGUUUCUAUGGGUUAUGAAUCCCAGCAUGGCCUAGUUGGGGGCCUCUGCUUCAAGAUUCUUCAUAAGGCUGUGGUCAAGGUACCAGCCAGGCUGGUUCUCAAAGGAAGGCUUGAUGGGGGUCGGGGUAAGGGGUGGGAUCUGCUCCCAAACUCACAUAGUUGUUGGUGGGAUUCAAUCCCUUGUGAGCUGGUGAAUUGAGGGCCUCAACUUGUGCCUGUUGUUGUGGCCUUUCUAGGUCAGCUUACAAGAUAGCAAGUACCUUCUUCCUGAGCUAGUACAUAAGAGAGCAAGAGUGGACAUACAAAAUGGAAGCCACAGUCUCCUAGUAACCUAAUCUAAGAUGUAACAUUCCAUCACUGCUGUCAUUCCUAUUUGUUAGAAGCAAGUCAAUAAUCCUAGACCCGACUGAAGGGGAGGACAUUGCAAAAGAGCAGGAAUACCAGGAGGUGAAAAUUGACAAAAGAUUUUCACCACUAUUUUUCAGAGGAAACGAAAUCCUCCAUGGGGCUUGCCUGUGAAAUUGAGCCAUGCAUCAUGACGUACUGUUCCAGCCAGGCCAGUCCCUGCUCAGGCACCACAGAACAGACUCCCACUGCACCUUCAAACUGCAUGACAAAUAAAGAAUCGCCCUGUCAGAAUUCCACCCUGGCUCACCCAAAUUGACAAAAAUUUUCUGAAUUACACUGUUUCAGGGCUCCCGCAUUGACAGGAGGCAGUCAAGCCUGACAGCCCUUUCCCUCUUGUCUGUUAUCUUGAAAUCAAUUGCACAGCCUGAUGCACAGAAUAAUGGCUGUGGACUAUUCUGCAGGACUUGGCCCAUCUGGUCACUAAGGAAGACAGCAUUGCUGGCUUCCUAUCGAUCUGGGAGGAGCAUGCUGCUACACAGAGGUGACCUCCAUCUCUCCACCUGGCCCUGCUAUUGAGGAAAUCAGUUUCACGAGUGAGCUCAUUCAGAAAUGAAAACAACUUUGCACCACAGCGUAUCCAUCUUUGUCUUUAAUUAAGAGCUCUUGCCUCUUUGGGAUUAAAUAGUGAGUUGUAAGCAAAUGAAAGGGCAUGAUUCUCUGCGUCGGGCACCAUAUUUUGUGUUAAGUCCCUUUAGUUAAAGUCUUGAACAGAUCAGACAUUUCAGUAGAGGGAAAUAUUAAUUUGGCUAUUUUAUGAAACUCCCUACACUUCAUCUUUGAAGAAAAUUCUUAUAUUAGUGGUAUAAUAUUUUUAUUAGCAAAGCUGAUUAAUGUUCCUACAAAGAUUAAUAUUUCUCAAGUUGGUUCUCUAGGAAAAUGAUCGAUUUAUACUUAAUUGUUUGAAGUUCAUUACACAGCCUACCUGUUUUACAUUUAAAAAGAAUUGCAUUAUUGGUGAGUUAUAAUAAAUGGACCCUGAAUCUAUGAAGGCUGCAAAAUGCUCCUGACUUCCUUAUUGGAAAGAAAGACGAAAGCAAGAAAAAAAGCAAGAAAGCAAGAAGAAAGAAAAACAAUUACAUGUUUAAGUUAGUAACAUUUUUGGAUGCUUAUAUUCCCACAGUUUUAUUUUUAUAGUUUGGUUUCUGUUUUUAGUAUUAAAAAUACCAAUUAGUAGCUGGCUUUUAUGAAACGUCUUCACGAUUCAGUCUGUAAAUUGCAUAUAGCAUUACAAAAGUCUGCUCCUUGCAUCUCCCGCCCCAUUCUUGUCCUCCUCUAGCAUAUUCACCCAGCUGCCCAAAGUAAUCUUUUAAGAACAUAAGUCAACUUAUGCCCCUUUCCUGCUCAAAACCUUCCGAGUGUUUCACAUGUCACCCAGAAUAACCAAACUCUCUUCCUCGACAAGGCCUAUAUGAUUUGUCCCUCCCUGUCUUUCUGACAUUGUCACCCAACAGUCCCCACUCUUGCUCACACCCUUCUAAACGGAGUACUAUUCUUGCACAGGCCCACACUUUUCACCUAACUGUGAAGUCAUGUGUUAAAAUUCACUUGGUCACAGAUGUCUAUUAAAAUAUUAAUAUAAUCUCAUAGAUUACAAGCCCCAUGAGGUCAAGAAUUUUGUAUGUCUUAUUUACCACUAUUUCUAAUGCCUAAUAAAGUAUGUAUUCAAUUAAGGCAGUAUUAGUCUUCCGUUAUCUCAUAUAAGUUCUAUUAAGACAAGGUCUAAAAGUGACUCAACGUGUUUUGUUUUGUUCAUCACUAUAUUCACACCACCUCGGGUAGUUCUUGAAUAUAAAAGUCACUUAAUAAAUGUUUGUUGAAUAAAUUGACCUAUGAAAAUAAAUCUAUUACAUAAGCGCAAUGGGAAACUGGGCCAGAAUUCAGGAUUGUCACAAACCUCCAAUAAUAUGGUCACUUUACAGAGAAAAUAGAAUAGUAUUAUUAAUAAAUUUACACAGCUUAGAGGCAUUGUUAGCUGAUAAAACCAUGUAAUUUGGAGCACAAGAGUUUAAACUACUUAUAUCUGGUCCCAAUUGUGGCUCUACUGUUAUUUAUCUGUUUGUGACUUUGGACACGUUAAUUAAGUUAAUUCAUUCCAUUCUUUUCCACAAACGAUGGUGAGCACUACCUCCUAAUGGGUUAAUGCGGCAACAUUGGUAAAAUACUUGUUGGAAUCCUGGCACAUGGUGAAGAGCAAAAAGAUCAUCUAUAUACCAUCAAUGUAAGUAUUAUAUGAUAUACUUUUAUGUCUGAGUGAUUGUAGUUGUACGCUUCAGUGAUUUAAAAGUGUUUUGAAGCCCCUCUUGCCCCACGUAUUUGUAGCUACAGAACAUAAUAUCUUCUUCUAAGUAGGAUAGAAUACUGAAAGGCAGACCACAGUGAGCAAUAGGAAUAAAUUCCUGGUAUUCAUACUGCUCACUGGGAUUCUUAUUCUAUCCUGUCCACUGGAGUUCUUAUUAUGCACUAGACAGUGCAUUAAAUAAGACGACUCAAAAUUCCUGUUUGAUAUAGGAAAAAAAGUAUUCUUUUUCUGUUUUCCCUGAACUUCAGAAUGAAGUCCAAAGCUAGUAGCUUUAGUUUACUUAAAUCAAUUUGCUAUUGAUAAAGUCUUAAGAAAAUGGCCUACUUUGUGAGGCUAAUUCACUUUUGUCCCAGGAAUGUAAUGAGCAAAACUCUUGGCUAUAAGGUCAACAGAACACAAGAAAUAUAGGUUUCAGGUUUCAGACACUUGUGGAUAGGUUUGACAUACAAAACAUGCUCAGGCUAUUGGUAAUAGCACUCUCUACCUGCUGAUUCAAGAGGAUAAAUCAUGCAAAAAAAGUCCAUUGUGACAAAAUAAACUAUUUAGCUAAUUAGGAGUAACUUAGAAUUUAUCAAAUUAGUUUAUAUCACAUAGAUUCAGGUGACUUUUUUUUCACAUCAAAGUGAAGACCAGAUGUUUCGUAUUCAGAUGGUCCAAUGCAAGACACUUCAAAAUAUUGCACCAUUUGAAAUCAUAAAUGACUAGGACUAAAAUUGAAAAACCAACUGCCAUCGUGAGUUAUGAAUUAGAAAGAAAACAAGAGAUCUUUUCUAUUGGAGACCACAAUAGUUCUGAGAGCUUGCCUACCAGGAGAUUUUCUUUUAAAGUAUGAUUAUCAUUAUUAUUACAUAUAUAAGUAAAUUACAUAUGACCAGAAUUCAUUGUUUAUUUUAGCCAAUCACUUCUUUAUUCUGAGAGCUGCUCCCUUCCCCACUAAUGAUUAAUAAGAGAAUGUCUGUUUUAUAUAAUUUGCUUCACUGAUCACCAGUUGAUUGGUCCAAGAAUUGGUGGCUGACCCAAGCUGAACUAAUAAAAACGGCUUCAGGGAAUUUUGAAAUUGGAGGUGAGAAACAGAGUCAAAUAUUACAGGGAAUAAACUGGAAAGUCGUAAAGCCUCAGUGCUGACAGCAGUAAUGUUUGGUAUAAUAUAGACUGGAAAGCCAGAGAAAGCAUGAAGCAUACACACAGGGAGAGAAAGAGACAAGAGAAAGAAAGUCUGGAUGGCUUUGGAAUAUCUACUUCCACUCAGUUCUUAGAUCUUGUAAAUAUCUCAUUUCUGUAACAUUUCCAUUGUUACUUAAGCUAAUGUAGGUUGGGAGUGUCAAAUAACUCCCCAACAGUUAUUUUCCCUCCCUUCCUCAGUAGUAGAAGAAGUAUAUAGAAUUGUUACUAGACAAAAGGACAAAUUUCCCAGGUUUCCUUGAAGCUGGAUGUAACCACGUAAUCAAGUUCUAACCAAUCGACUGCAAGGCAAUAUAAGAUAUGCAACUUCAGAAAUUGCGCAUUUUAAAAAUGGAGUUUCCUAUCACUCCUUCUUUCUCUCUUUUGCUGGAGACAAGGUGGGCACAAUAAGUGGGGCUUCAAAUGGUCAUCUAGACACACAAAGUGGACGUCACGCACUGAGUGUGAUAAUGCAAAACGUUAAAAAGAGUCUGUUUCUUUGAUAA